UGACCUCGGAUCAGGUAGGGAUACCCGCUGAACUUAAGCAUAUCAAUAAGCGGAGGAAAAGAAACCAACAGGGAUUGCCUCAGUAACGGCGAGUGAAGCGGCAACAGCUCAAAUUUGAAAUCUGGCCGUUCGGCGGCCCGAGUUGUAAUUUGUAGAGGAUGCUUCGGGUGCGGCGCCGGUCUAAGUUCCUUGGAACAGGACGUCAUAGAGGGUGAGAAUCCCGUAUGUGACCGGCGAUCCAGCCCGUGUGAAGCUCCUUCGACGAGUCGAGUUGUUUGGAAUGCAGCUCUAAGUGGGUGGUAAAUUCAUCUAAAGCUAAAUACCGGCCAGAGACCGAUAGCGCACAAGUAGAGUGAUCGAAAGAUGAAAAGCACUUUGGAAAGAGAGUUAAACAGUACGUGAAAUUGUUGAAAGGGAAGCGCUUGCGACCAGACUYGCUCGCGGGCAAUCAGCCGUCCUUCUGSGCGGUGCACUCGCCUGUGAUCAGGCCAGCAUCGGUUCGGGCGGCCGGAUAACAGCCCUGGGAAUGUGGCUCCCCUCGGGGAGUGUUAUAGCCCGGGYGCAAUGCGGCCGCCGGGACCGAGACCGCG
rnacentral:rRNA from 1 species